rnacentral:lncRNA from 1 species
AUGCUCUUCAUUAGGAAAAGCUCCAGCGUGUGGGAUUCACGACCGAAGAAGAAGAAAGAGACAGAACUGUACUUUUUUUCCGGUUUCCGAAGCAGACUGAAGACGUUUUUUUUCACGUUUCCUUCUUACAUUGAUUUUCCAGCUCCACCUUCCAAAUCCGUGACGGCUCGUAAGGUGAAACACUGGACACCCAUUGAAUCAACGUAGAAAAUCGCAGAGCCCUGUACUUCUGGCGUAUGUUAAAAUUCCAUAAUGGACCAAGUUCUGGAAAGGUAAGGCUAGUGACAGAUUUCUCUCAACUCUCAGGGAAGCCGGCUCAAUCCCCCACCUUCUCAGAAAAAAAAAAAGUCCACCACAGAGGUAUUAGUGAAAAAUCUUCAGUUCCUCUUC